rnacentral:rRNA from 1 species
UACGUAGGGGGCAAGCGUUGUCCGGAGUUACUGGGCGUAAAGCGCACGCAGGCGAUCUCUUAAGUUUGGAGUGACAGUUGGUGGCUUAACUGCCAAAGUGCUUCGAAAACUGAGAGACUUGAGGGCUUCAGAGGGACACGGAAUUCCGGGUGGAGUGGUGAAAUGCGUAGAGAUCCGGAGGAACACCAAAGGCGAAGGCAGUGUCCUGGGGAGUACCUGACGCUCAGGUGCGAAAGCCAGGGGGGCGAACGGG